UGCAGUCGACGAUGACCACUUCGGUGGGGAUUAGUGGCGAACGGGUGAGUAACACGUGGGCAAUCUGCCCUUCACUCUGGGACAAGCCCUGGAAACGGGGUCUAAUACCGGAUACCACUACCGCAGGCAUCUGUGGUGGUUGAAAGCUCCGGCGGUGAAGGAUGAGCCCGCGGCCUAUCAGCUUGUUGGUGAGGUAAUGGCUCACCAAGGCGACGACGGGUAGCCGGCCUGAGAGGGCGACCGGCCACACUGGGACUGAGACACGGCCCAGACUCCUACGGGAGGCAGCAGUGGGGAAUAUUGCACAAUGGGCGAAAGCCUGAUGCAGCGACGCCGCGUGAGGGAUGACGGCCUUCGGGUUGUAAACCUCUUUCAGCAGGGAAGAAGCGAAAGUGACGGUACCUGCAGAAGAAGCGCCGGCUAACUACGUGCCAGCAGCCGCGGUAAUACGUAGGGCGCAAGCGUUGUCCGGAAUUAUUGGGCGUAAAGAGCUCGUAGGCGGCUUGUCACGUC
rnacentral:rRNA from 1 species